GGCCUUGGACAUCCCGUCGUCUAGGACAAGUUCUUGCCUUUGUCCCCGAGGAGGGUUUGCUCUGCCUUUGCUGGGUUCUCUGGACUCCACCGCUGUUGUGCAUCGGGGUUUCUGCUGUCACCAAGUGAAGGAAAGACCUGUGCAAAUAGGUGGCCUUGUGGUCUGAUCCUCAUGGCACUUUCUCCUCUUGUCAUUGCAGGUGGCCUUCAUGGUGAACAAAACACAUGACCCCGAGUACCCGAGGCGGAAGGUGUCCGGCAUCAGUGCUCAGAAAGUUGUUCCACCUUCCACCAAGGUAAGGGCUUUUCACUUCUCUGAGGAAAAAGAAAAAGCAAAAAAAAAAAAACAAAAUAUAUAUAUAUGGCUUCAUUCCCUAGCUUUUCAAUCAAAUUCAACUCUGAAAGUCCAAAUCCGUGGAUACUUAGGGUUUUCCUGGGUUGGGUGACUGUUGACUGAUUGUCUGUCCCAGUGAAUGACUGAUUUAAAAAAGGACCUUUAAAAGCGGACAGCAGUAGUUUUGUAUGUGUAAGUGUGGUCGGGAGCAUGGUUAGUAGCAGAGACUCGCCCUCCUUGAAGGAGACUUUGGCAGCUGUGGGUCAGAGUGCACGUAAGAGUUUUUCCAGGAAAAUUCGAAGGCUUUCUCCAAGAUGACCUCUGUGUUUUUCCUUUGGGACCUGGGACUAAAGGAAUUUUACAUUUGGG
rnacentral:lncRNA from 1 species